rnacentral:rRNA from 1 species
GAGUAACAGCCCACCAAGACGAUGAUCAGUAGCUGGUCUGAGAGGACGGACAGCCACACUGGAACUGAGACACGGUCCAGACUCCUACGGGAGGCAGCAGUGAGGAAUUUUGCUCAAUGGGCGCAAGCCUGAAGCAGCGACGCCGCGUGAAUGAUGAAGUCUUUCGGGAUGUAAAGUUCUGUCAACAGGGACAAUGAUGAUGGUACCUGUGGAGGAAGCACCGGCAAACUAUGUGCCAGCAGCCGCGGUAAUACAUAGGGUGCAAGCGUUAUCCGGAUUUACUGGGCGUAAAGCGUAUGUAGGUGGUAUUUUAAGUCAAACUUCAAAUCCCGGGGCUCAACCUCGGUUCGGGUUUGAUACUGGAAUACUUGAGUUUGGGAGAGGAAAGCGGAACUAACAGUGUAGCGGUGAAAUGCGUAGAUAUUGUUAGGAACACCCGUGGCGAAGGCGGCUUUCUGGACCAACACUGACACUGAGAUACGAAAGCGUGGGGAGCAAACAGGAUUAGAUACCCUGGUAGUCCACGCUGUAAACGAUGUACAUUAGGUAUAGGGGGUAUCGACUCCUCCUGUGCCGAAGCUAACGCGUUAAAUGUACCGCCUGGGGAGUACGGUCGCAAGAUUAAAACUCAAAGGAAUUGACGGGGGCCCGCACAAGCAGUGGAUCAUGUGGUUUAAUUCGACGAUACCCGAAAAACCUUACCAGAACUUGACAUCUGGGGAAUUCUGUAGAAGUACGGAAGUGCCCGCAAGGGAACCUCAAGACAGGUGGUGCAUGGUUGUCGUCAGCUCGUGUCGUGAGAUGUUAGGUUAAGUCCUGCAACGAGCGCAACCCUCGUAUUGUGUUGCUACAUUUAGUUGAGCACUCUCAAUAGACUGCCCGUGGUAAACGGGAGGAAGGUGGGGAUGACGUCAAAUCAUCAUGCCCUUUAUGUUCUGGGCUACACACAUGAUACAAUGGCAAGUACAAAGGGAUGCCAAGCCGCAAGGCGGAGCAAAUCUCAAAAAACUUGCCCCAGU